UUAGGCAAAGAAGUAGGAUGCACUGUUUUCUGUUUUGAGUGCAUCGCUCAACCCACAUAUAGUAUAUUUUAAGAAGUCCUGAAAAAUAUUUUCCAUUUUAUGCUAGAAGUUUUCUCUUGUAUUCAGUUCCUCCCACUUUUAAAAAUAAAUUCAAAAAAGUAAGAAACCUCAGGCUACAUUGGAAAAAUAUUCUUGGUCUAAAAUGGUUUAUACAAAGAAGUGGUAUGAAAAUACUGUAAUUUGGAGGGGAGGAGAAAAUAAAGAAACAGAAGUGUUGGAAAACUAGAAAAUGUUGAACAAAGGGAAAAAUUUAGCAAGUAAAUUUACAAAGUAUGAAAGCUCUAGUUGCUAGGAUUUUUUUGAAGGAAGAUACCUACUUAUGCAAUACCUCAGGUGAUGACUUGCCUACCCCCUCACCCCUCUACUCAUGUGAAUAGCAGAGAGCUGAGAAAACCUACAAAGCAAAUUCAACAGUCAGAGACCCUGCGGCACAGAAGCCUUUUCCACCAAUGAUCUAACCUAUAAAUCUGCGAAUUGUUAGUAUAACAUUCUAGAUAACUGAUCUUAACUACUGUGGUUUGGAGAACCAGGGGAAUUAAGUAUACUGCUUUCAUGAAGAGUUUAUAUGCUUCAGCCUGUGCAUGUGAAGAUUAUUUAUAGAGUUAAGUCCAGAAAGCUGUUUAGUCUGGGAGAAGAUGGAAACCAAUGGGCAACAAAACAGUGAUCGAGACAUGAUACCUGGGGUGAACAACUUCAAGGGAGUUAAAAUAACAAUAACUCAAUAACCAGUUGGGAAAAUGCUAUUUUCCAGGCCCCAGGCAGUUACACAGCUGGUUUGCCAAGUCUGAGAGCCCAGAGAUCAAAAAGAAUAUGAAUCUUAAAAGGACUUCGUUGGAACAAGAAAGGAAGGAAUGGGUUGUGAGCAGCUGCCUGGGGAUGAGAAGAGUCUGAAAAAGGAAGGGAAUGCAGCUGAGCCCAAAGAUGGAGACAACUGAACAGACUGGGAAAAUGUGGGCUGAACCUCACUCCCACACAGUGCUUAUUUCAGCAGCAGGUGGAAGUAAAUCCUAGUGCACCUGGGCAUAUGUGAACUAGAAAUAUCUGAUGACCAUACGGAUUUGGUACUUAUCUGAUACCCAGGCUUUUGAUGGGGUUUGGCUGUCAGUGGGCAAGGAAGAGGUCAAACUCUAAAACUGGAUUUUGGAUCUGAAAUUCCCUCAUAGUUUGUAAUGCAUCCUCUUCUUUUUUGGUGCUAAUAUUUCCUGAAUUUGCCAGACUGUUCUUUCUUAUGCAGUGGAGAAAUUUCUUGUCACCUUUACUUAUAAGGAUCUGUAAAGUGCCAUUAAUAUUGUUCAUGAAGUAAUAUUCAUCGAGCUAGUGCGUGCUGGCUACGCUGCUGUAAUUGCUGGUGCUUUUGUCCACUGUUGGCAGGUGGAAAAAGAAAAGUCUUCAAGGUCUGCUUAAACUCUAAGUAAAAGAAUAUAUUGCAUUGAAAUUGUCUGCAAAAGUAAGUCCUUUAGGUUAAACUGCUCUAAAAAAUACACUGUGUUUGAACAUGAUUGUGACAUAUUUCUUUCUCCUUCUAUUUUUCUUCUUUUCCCUUCCUUAUUUUAUCUUUACCUUUCCCUUUUUCCUCUUUUCCCUUCCUUUUUUCCUCUUUUUCCUUCUUUCUUUAAUGACGAUACUAAGCCUACAGGCCAAGACAAGCCAUAGUCAGCACUUUGGUAAAUUAAUUGUGAUACUCCACAUGCAGAACUACUUUGCAGUCAACAUUGCAUCUGCAAACUCAACUCCCAGCAACUACUUUCAAAAGCUACAAGGUUUUCUACUGAAAACAGAACCUCACUGAGACAACAGCAUCAUCCUCGCUGGAAGAAACACGUGGACUUGGAAAAAGUGAGUCUUGAGGGGUGAUUGAAAAAAAAGAUGAGAUUAAUGGUUCUGGCUCUGCACAGUACUGACGGCCUACUCUGACACACUGCCAGCCUUUUACUCAUCAAUGGAACAGACUCAGAAAAAAUGUUAAUUACAUUGUCCUAAGCACUGCACCUACUUUAACAGACAUGUUAUUCCUUCAUUAACUUAGAGAACUUCUGGAGGCCCAAAGGAACUGAUCCUGCAGGCCUACUCGUUCACAGGAGUGAAGGGCUUGGAGUCUAGCAUUUCUGGCUAUUAAGUCUGCAUCCCGCUGCUCUCCAUAGGUUUUUAUAUUGAGAACUUCUGCAGAUAAUUUGGCUAUUGUCUUAGGUAUGUCUCAUUUUUUUUUCAAUUAGACAGAGCUGGGAGGCACUUGGGACCAUAGGAUAAGCAGAGAAGCCAGGUAGCUUUGUUGAAAAUAACAACAAUUUAAUUGUUUACCCUUAAACCUAAUGGCACUAAUUAAAAAUGUCAAUAUUGUCAACAGUCCAAUAACAUCAAUGCUAAGCACAGGUAUUUGGAAAUACAGCCAAAAUAUUGUUUGAAAAAAGCUGAUCAUAAAAAAAAUGCAAUUUCUUAGGGAAUUCUAGCAUCUCAAGGACUUUCUUUGUUAUCAUUUUAAACCCCCUAACUUUUUUGGGGUGGGAGCUGAUGUGGCAAAAAUGCAUUCAAGUCCAGAAAGCUGUGAUGACUUCCUUCAUUUAAUAGGACAGAAGUAUUUGAUGCUGACUUUUGUAAUUUAUCCUAUUUUGAGUUUUAUACUAGAAUAUUAUUAAAAUAUAUUACAAAAGGCUAAGCCAGAUACAUAAGGAUGGUAGAUAAAAUGAUGUUUUUCUUUGGUUUAAAAUUUUGAUAAGACUGAUAAAAUUAGGAAGUAAAUAAUGCCUCCAGAUUUUUUCCAAAAAUUUUUUAGCAAAAAAAGCAUGUUGUGAAGGAACACUUCGUUGAAACUGCAGAUUCGGGGAAAAAAUCCAUUUCAUUCAAGAAAUGUCAGCAACCUCUAUCUUGGGGCUCAUUCAGGCAAUUUAAUGGAUACAAAAGCUAACACUUCCCCCUCCCCUCAUAAUCAAGAAGGACUAGAGAUACUUUUUUUUAAAGGGAAAUUAAUUUUGGAAAACAUUAGAACUGUAGAACUGUGGGAUGUGCGUGGCACCAGGCCAAGUACUUGAUAUAAGCCGUUAACUGGAACUCAAAUUCUUACUCCCUUUUGCGGGCAUGUAUGCCUGAAAAGUGAUAAAAACAGGGCAGUUCUCUGCAGGACUGUAUGCUACAGAAGUCCCUUAAAACCGUUCCUGCAAAUGGUCACACCUCACUAGCAAGAGGUACAUGCCUAACUUCUAAAUCCUGGUAGAAUAUAAACUUAAAGAGUUCAUUUAUCUUACACUUUAGCAACCCCAUGCAUUAACAGAAAGCCCAGGUGGCUAGAGAACAUGUUCCUAUGCUCCCCUGCACAAGAUGAUGCUGAUGACCUGUGCAAUGGAUGUCAGUCGAUCUGGGAGCAAAGCUCCAACCCCAUGUGAUCUGGUGGUGAGGGAAAGCCAUGGAUUUACCGCGUAUUAUUUCUUCUGCCUGGCAGCAAAGACAGGAAUAAAUGAGCAGUUACCACUGAGUUCUUCUGUUUUAAUCCUGAGACAUGCCCCACCGCAUCACACUUAAGAAUUUGAAAACUUUGAAUAACAUGAUUUAAUUGUGGGUACUUAAACUUUGAUUUGACUGUGGCAGAGUUUUGAUUCUAAAGACACAGUACAGAAACCCAGAAAAUUUUUAUAGAGUUAAUCUGUACUUAAAAUUAUGGGGUAAAUACAGUGUGAGCUCCAGAAAAAUUAUCGGUAUUUAAAAAAAAAUAUUUUUCUUCCCCAUUACCACUACUCUGUUGUAACACAGCCCAGUGGAGUGGGCUUUGCAUGCAUGGCUGUGUGCUGCCAAGCGAUGGUUAGAUGAUUAGUAAUUCAACAUGACCUUGAAUUCUAUCACCUGCAAACUGGUAAGCACACAGCUUAUGUCUAUUUUGCUAUUGCUUUGAGCAGGAGAAGAUGGAAGGAUUUGCCUUCUUUGUGAACAUUUUAGCAGCAGGACUAAUCUGAUUCCAUAUGGUAUUAAUAGAAGUUCUUUUUUAAAAAAAAACAACCCAAACAAUUCAAAUAAUGUCUGAGAAGAGCAUUUGAUAUUAGUCAUGAUAGUAUGAAAAUAUUGUGUCAAUAUUUUUUCCAUGAAAAAUGUUGCAGGAAAAGAUGUAUUUUGCAGAUGCUAGUUUUCAGGACAAAUUCCUACUGUUUGGUCACUGGUGCUCCUGGGGUAAGGCAGCAAGAGGUACAACAAAUACCCUAAACACAUACCGAAGAAUGUGUUCAUGGGGAAUGAGGAGAAGACAAUGUUCUUCACUGGGAAAAUGCAGAGCACUCAAUCCUGUUUUUAAAAAACAUCUUUCAUUUCAAGAUGAGAUUCUCAAAGGCGUGGUUUCCCGAGGCCUUUUGAAGAUCCUAAACUCAGUGAGGUAAAUGAGGGUUGAAAAAGGGGAUGCAGAACUUAUCCAAUCCUCAUUUUGGCAUCUACCCGUGCACCUCUGUGUAACAUCCAGCAGCUUUUGGGCAGCCUGAUCACAAUUAGGAAAUCUUACUCUUCUCUAUGCAAAUCAUCUGUUUCAGUCAACAGAAGCAGCAGAGGAAACAUUAAGGUAAUGCUGAGUAUGAUUAAAGGCGAAUUUAGACAAGGAUCAGCUGUGUCCAGCUACAUUCCAGGAAGCAGCAGGGGAAGUACUUUCCUGUGAUCCCAUAUUGCUACUUAGGCUCUGGCUACCUGUAUUUCACCAUAGCUCCCUCCUGAACUUGCUCAGUGCUCUGAUCUGUCUCUGUCAUGCACAGUCACUGCCACAGAUGCUGGCAAUGUAAUUGUAGCAUGGGGGAAAACAUGUAGCCCUAUCCAGACAGAUACAGCUGCAUAGCCUUAAUAUCCUCCCUACUGGGGUUUUGGAAUUAGCAUAAUCUCUGUAGUCCUCUAUAGCUCCAAUGCACCAAGGGCAUUUCUCAAAAAUCCUGUUCUCUGAUUUUUGCCUUCCAUCACCAUUCAAUACUCUAAUUGAUAGAUUGUAACUUUGAAGUGAAGCACAACGUGCUUAGAAUGGGAAAUCCCUGACCAAACCUGUAAACACAUUAUAAAAUGAUAGCCCAGGCUCUGAAGAAUCAGUCACCUAUCCACCACUCUUCUUCUGGUCUCUCUAUCUUUAUUUGUCCUUCUGCUUCACACCAAUGGACAGGAUAAAACCCAUCAUGGAAGAGGCAGCAUUGAAAAAACAGUGUCCUGCUUACAUCUCACUGACAAAGUUUUAAAGGUAUUUCCUUUUACAUUUUGUUGUAAGCAGCUGCCCUGGAAUGAAUUCCAUGCACACUCAGGGAAAAAGUGUUGCUCUGGAGUGGUAGUAAGUGACUCUUACAGAAGUAUGAAUUUGUCUGCUAGGCAAACAGGAAAACCCCAAAGUAGCAUCAUAACCCUCUUCACAUUGCAUUUUGCAAUAUGGUGACUGAAUCGUUAAACAGCUAACUACUUUUUCUUCUUUUUCUCUUAGACAAAGAUGAGUGAGAAAAGGAAGUUGCUUAUUUUGCAGCUUCCAAACCCCCAAAAUGCAUUUGCCUAAUAUUGUCCAAGAGCCUUAUCCUCAACAAAACUUUGUGGAUGUGAAACGCUCAGGCAUAGUGAAUUUAGAUGAGAUGAACGCAGUAAAAUGCAUUUCAGUCCCUCGAUACCCAGGAUAUUUUAUGACAGAUUUCCCUACUAUUCUGUCCAGUUCAAAGCACACACCUUAGGCAUUGCUAUUCCAUAGUCUUUCUUAUAAGCAUUCAUCUCAGUGUGCCUUGCGGUGCUAUUUGCACUGUACCAUUAUCUCCUACCCCAGAAGAUGCAGCUACAAAACAGGAAUAUGUGUGCCAACUCCUAUCACUCCACUGCUUCAAAUUCUGAUGCUCAGCCUCCUGUUAGAGGGGAUCAAUACAUGAUCCAGCCCAGCUGGAUAGAAAUUAAUUGAAGUGACAUUUUACAAUCAAUUCAGAACAGUGGGCUAAUGCUAAGAGGGGUUUUAAUUAUGCAGAUGAAACCUCCUACUACAUGAAUUCCCUUAGCCAGUUUGCUGGAAGCUGCAAGAGUACAGUAGAGGGAAGUAUAACUCAGUAUUUGCCUUGUCUUUCCUCUCUUUCUCAAGCGUAGCAGAGUUUAGUGGACAUUGUCAGAAACGAAACGCUUGUCCAGGUGGAUCUUCAGUCUGAUUAGUUGACUGUAACAGAGCAGAUGGGGCAGCAGGAAUCUGGGAAACUGGCAGUUUGGUCCCACCCUGAGAAGUGAAUGAAAAAAGACCCUUUUUCCAUGCAAAAGACCAGCUCUGGUUUUAUUGUUCAUUUUUAUUAAACUGAGUAAUUUUUUAUUCCAGCUAGUAUUGUAAGACUAGUGAGCUGGGGGGAUGCCAUGCGGUGGCAGAAUAGUUAAAGAAAGCCUUCACCUUGCUGGAGCUAAUCGCGAUGGGUAUGUUUGUUUCUCCAGAAUUUAGCUCAGGCCCUUAUUUCUGAAGGUGGCAAAUGAUAUUCAGGACUAUCUACUGACUUGGAACUGUUUCUGUGUCUCCAACCCAACAGAUCUCACUCACUUCACUCUUUAAAUCAUAAUAUCCCAAUUAAAAUAUAGCAGAAACACAUCCCUUCAAUUGAAUCAGGUUUUAUUUUAUUUCAAAGUGGGAAACGUGGCAGUUUGGGAAAAAAGGCUUGGCCCACAUAGUUCUGAACCCUGUGUCACUUUGCUGAUUCAGACCCCAGUGCCAUUUCUGGGAUCUAGCUCUGUGUUCAUGUCUUGGGUUUUGGUAGGUAGACCAGCAUGGUUUAUAGCUUUUUGUCUGUCGCUUCACAGAAUGGUUUCAGGUCCGUAUUGGGGGCUGCGCUGUUCAACAUCUUUGUUGGUACAUGGACAGUGGGAUCAAGUGCAUCCUCAGCAAAUCUGCCAAUGACACCAAGCUGAGUGCUGCAGCUGACACGCCGGAGGGCAGGGAUGCCAUCCAGAGGGUCCUUGACAGCCUUGAGAGGUGAGCCCAUGCAAACCUUAUGAAGUUCAACAAGGCCAAGUGCAAGGUCCUGCACCUGGGCUGGGGCAACCUCGAGUAUCAAUACAGGCUGGGCUGAGAAUGGAUUGAAAGCAGCCCUGAGGAGAAGGCUUUGGGAGUGCUGGUGGACAAGAAGCUCGACACGGCCUGGCAAUGUGUGAUGCAGCCCAGGAUACUGUUGGGUUUCUGGGCUGCAGGCACACGUUGUCAGGCCAUGUUGAGCCUGGUCACAAGAGUGACCAGCAGGUUGAAGGAGGUGAUUCUCCUCCUCUACUCUGCUCUUGUGACACCCCACCUGCAGUGCUGCACUCAGCGCUGGGGUCCCCAACGUAAGGACAUGGACCUGUUGGAGUGGGUCCAGAGGAGGGCCACAAAGAUGAUCAGAGGGCUGGAGCACCUCUCUCAUGAAGACAGGCUGAGAGAGCUGGGGUUCUUCAGCCUGGAGAAGAGAAGGCUCCAGGGAGACCUUAUAGCAGCCUCUCAGUACUUAUGGGGGGCUUAUAAGAAAGAUGGGGAGAGACUUUUUAGUAGGGCCUGUAGUGACAGGACAUCGGGAAAUGCUUUUAAACUGAAAGAGGGCAGAUUUAGAUGUUAGGAAUAAAUUCUUCACAGUGAGGGUGGCAAGGCACUGGCACAGGUUGUCCAGAGAAGCUGAGGAUGCUCCAUCCCUGGAAGUGUUCAAGGCCAGGCUGGAUGGGGCUUGCAGCAACCUGGUCUGUGGAAGGUGUCCCUGCCCAUGGUGGGAGGGUUGGAACUAGAUAGGCUUUAAGGUCCUUUCUAACCCAAACCAUUCUAUGAUUCAUAUAAUUAGGUAUGCACUGUGAAAACUAUAUUCCCAUAAGCUAUGUGGUCAGUUCUGCCUGAGGUAACCACUAACAGCCUCUAUCAGCUUAAUGAUGUCUGUUGUUGGCAGUGCUUCUGCCAGUCAG